GGAAUACACAGAUAGAAAGCAAGCCCUGAAAAAAGAUGUUCUUAUUCAUUUGAUCCUCUUUUUAAAGGCCAAACAGUUACACAAUCAUUUUGACAAGCCUUUAACUCUUUAACAGGGGAUCAGGAAAAUUCUAAAGAUAUUACAUUUCAGUCCUACAAUGGCUGAAUCAAACGCGGUAUGUUUCAUAUACAGUUUGCAAGGACAAGGCCAAUCAGCCGCAAUCAGAAUACCUCAGCUGUGUUUCAGGAGAAAGGUUAUUUACUGGGGUCAGUUUUUAUCCCUGAAAAAUUGGUUUUCUUUUGGAAAUUGCCUUCUCUGGAAAUAUGAUUCGCUUUUCAUAAAAAUAUCCUUGAUGCUAUUUUUAUUAUUUUUCUCUCACUCACUAUGUUUUAUGAUCCAUUGUGCCAGUGGCCUGGGUUUUGCCAGCCAUGAAACAUUUCGAGAAGUAACCCCUGGGGGUAGCAAAGGAUGGCCAUCUGUAGAUGAUGCAUAAAAUCUGUAAUCUGGCAGAAAUCAGCUAAUUAAUUAGGCCCACCUUGAUGUUUAUAUUCUAUAUCUAAAAAUGUUUGUUUUAGUAAUGGUUGCCAACCACUGAAGCAAUUCGAAGACCUAAAAACUCUUAAAAUUUAUUUUCAGAUCAGUGGAAUGAACACGAGUAUGCUGCCCGAAUUUCCAAGUUUAGUAAACAUGUCUCCCCAGUCCAGUGGCGCUGGAUGAGAAGGGUCACCAGGCCACUUCACUAGGGUUGACAGUGGACCUGCUGAUGUCAGCACCCGCUAAUCUCCCAAGGUAUGAAUACAACGAAGGUGACAGCAGAGAUAAGCGCACCCUCGGGGCAGCAGAAGGGCCUCCCGAGGGCAUCCAGAGGAGCAGAUCCCUGGGGAGGUGACCCACAUUCUCCUUGUGCAUUGCUAUGCCCUGUCUCUGUGACCCUAGGAAGGGCUCAGACAAGCCCAGGAGGAGACAACCCCUGGCAGCAGAGAGGCCAGCUGGCUUAUCCUCUCACAGACCUUUGGAUGUGUUAAUGCAACGUUCCCAUCAGAUGAACAAGAACAACUGAAGUGACCAAAACGUGUCAGGGCUUCCCCUCCCUCUGGACAGACUGAAGCAGGCAGUGCCCUGCUCUGGAGCAUGGGAUGACCAAGGGUUAAUGCAACCCAGGCUCUCAGAGUUGCAGCAAGGAUUUCCUUCUCAUCACAUCUCAGCGUUCUGGAAGCAGGCUGACACCUUUUUAAGUUGGAAACAGUUUCAUUCAUUUUUCAGAUGGUAAAAGUGUGGGACCAGCUGCAUGGAUUCCAGAAGAGUUUAAGGAGUGUGGAUGUUUGAGAAUCCCUGCUGUCUAAAGGAUCCUUAGAAAGGGUGAUCCAUCCACCAAGAUCCCACAGAGAGCCUUGGGGUUGGAGGGAACAAACCCUGAUAAGUAUUAAAUUCCAUGGUGAACGUGGGAAAUGUGCCUUUUCACUGAACUCUUUGAAGAAGCCUAAGCUACACAAUGCUAUUAUUAUUUUGGGGGAUAAGGGACUUGGCUAAGAGAUUAAAUCAUGUGAGCAGUCUAUGCAGAGCUCAGGAACUGGGGCCAGGGUUCUGACUCCACUUUCUGCUGCCUACAGGAAGCCAGGCCUAGGUUCCUCACUUCCUGUGGGUUGCUUUACAGACUCUACCAUUGAAAUCAAUUCUUUAAACGUUUAAGUAUGAUAGAGACGGUACAUUCCAAAAAGGACAAAAUUUACUCUGCCAAGUAGUACCUAGCUCAGUAGGAAUGAUAAAGAUUGUUCACUUGCCCUGGGAGUUCACGUUGAGGAACUAAGGAUAAGAUGUAGAGGAGAGAUCCGGGCCAGGGCCCUGCUGCAGUUUCCAUUUCAGGCCACUCAGGACCCCUUCUCUUCUCGCCUGUCCCCUUAAAAAUAUGUAAAUACACUUGUAAAUAGAGUUAAAAGAGAUUCAGAGCCAGGAGGUAAUGGGCUGGAGGGUUGGAGAGGGAGGGACGAGGUCGGGAAGGGCGGAAUGAAUCCUUUGAAGGGGAGGUGACCCAGAAGAAAGGCCUACCCUCUCUGGUAUCAUCCUUGGCAGGGAGGGGGGGUGCCUCUUUCAUCCCCCCCCCCCGGGGGGGGACUUUCCCCACUUUCCAACACUCAUUUACCUUCAUCAUUUGUCCCUGGCUCUUCCACCCUCUUCACCUCCCUCCGGCACCCUGGGGGGAACAGAGGCGAGCCUGCUAGGCUCUUAAGUGAGGUGGGGAGGGGAGGGGAUGCCCACAGGGAGGGCAGCCGGAGCUGGGUAUCACCCCCCGGGACCCCUGGACCAGACGAAGCUGGCCAGGUCCUCACAGCCGCUGCGCCAGGAGCUUCUCAUUGGGACGUCCUCCUCCAGGACGGAUGGGUCUUUUGGGCGCUGGGCUCAAUGGAAAUGCUCUGUGGUUCAGAGCUCUCUCCUGCUCCAACAGGCAGGACACCAGAAGGCUAGGGUUGCUUUGUUGCCGCAGCAGCAGAGACUUGAAACGGUGGGCGCGUUAGGGCAGGUUUAUGAAAGCACAGGUACACUGGGAGCGAGAGCGGGGCCGCCGGGCACGCAGGGACUGGCCCGCUUCACAGGUGGGUUUUCCUUGUGUCCCCACGCUAGGGACCUGAGUGGGGGCCUGCUUCUCCCACCCCGGCCCAGUGAUCCAUCCCGCCCUGGCCCUCCGCGAGUGUAAGGGCUGAGUGUCGAUUGGUCUCUCAUGGGGCGUAUUUGAUCUUCCCAUUGGUCUCGGGCAAGAUACCGUAUUUGCACGCGGGGCAGGUUAUAGGGACGUUCCUGUGUUCUUAUUGACCCAGCGAAGGCGUGAUGAGGAGUGGGCCGCAUACCUUUGCUCGUAAGGUCGGGGAGGGGCAUUACAGAGCCACCUGUAGGGCAAUGAUAAGGAUCUGGUAAUUCUUGUCUUGGCCAGAGGCUUUGAGUAGAGUCUCUUUGAGGGGGACUCGAAGUUAACAUUCUUCCUUCUUUCUCUUGGGGCAAGUCUUUGGCCCCUUUGAACACCCUGCUCAUGUUUCCCUCUAUGGCAUCUGGGAACCCAGAUUAUAAGGGAAGAGGGGCGACAACCAUUCUGGCUGCUUCCUGCUGAACGUGGGUGUUGCAGGGCUCUGGGUUCCUUCUGCCUGCUCUCAGGGCAUUCCUGAAGAGGGCGGUGUGGCCCCACGGGGCGCUGUGAUGGCUUUUUUCAACAUUGUCAGGUGUUGAUUGGUUGAUAUCCCCACUGUAUAUCAUUUGGAGACUUGUUUGUUGUAUUCUAGAAGAAACAAACUUAACCGGCCGAUGAAAAGUUGAGGCCAAAGAUCAGAAAGAGAAUUAUUGUAAUGAAGCCACUUAGUGUAGUCAUCUGUUUAACGUAAGUGUAACAGACGCAGUCAGGAACAAUUGGAGAAGUGACGGUCUGAGUGUUGAUAGACAGAGGAGAUCCCACUUUUUCUAGAAUAAGUCUGAAAGCCAACCUGGACCUGGCACUUUGAGGGGACUUGUGAGGUCCAGCUUUCUCUGUAGCACAGGAGCCCGCCCUUGGCUGCAUGCCCGCCCCUGCCUGUUACCCACCCUGCCACCAGGCUGCACAUAGAAGGCCUAUGAGCUCCAACUCUCAGCGGAUCACCCCACAUCCCUCCCACCCUCACCCUGCAGUGCUCCUGGCUGCCUCCCCCCCACCCUCCUGCCCCUCACUGGGUCUCCUACCAGCCAGCAUCCUUGCCCCCUACUCCCUACGCACUGCACCCUAGGUUCUCAGUGGCUUCUUGGCCAUCCAGAGGAAAUCAACCUUGACCAUUUGGUCAAGGACCCCAUCUUCCUGUGCUGCCUCCAUCACCUGGUUGCACUUCUAAUGGGCAGAUGAGCCCCGCCGCCCCACCCAGCCUUUGAUAAAAUAGCGUGAACAUUCCUGUCUUCUUUGUCAGUGCAGGGACCAAAACCAAAAAACAAAACAAAGUAACUGAAGACAAAUAAAUGAUUGAAAGUGAGAAAAUUAGAAUAUCAGGAUGGAAUUUGAAGCACAUUCCUGUAGCAGCUGUCAACAUUUAAUGUGGAUUUAGAAGAAAAGAUUACAAUUUGAGGACCUUGGAAUACAGGAUGAGUCAAUGUUUUGAUAAAAUAUUUCCCAUUAAACCUUUCCCAUCAAUCUGCCCCACCGGCCCACCCUCCAAACACACCUAUAUCCCUAUUUCUUAGUACUUAACUUUUAAAACCAAUGUCUUUACAGUGAAAUUAAAUUGAAAAAUACUUCAGUUGGUUAAACUAGGUUUUCCCUAGUUCAUUUUUUAAGUUCUUUCUUCAAAAGCAUCUCCCUUUCUGUUCUUGGUGUCGGAAAUGGUUUUUUCAUUUAGAAAAGGAGAGAAAAGUAGAGGCCAGAAGUCCCAUGUGAGGCUGAUGGGGGUGCACUUAGAGGGCCCAGCUCUUCAGUGGGGGAGCGCAUGGGGGUGGAGACCAAGGUCAGGUUUGCCUCCUCCCGCCACACCAGGUAGGGAGGGGAGCCCUCAUUCCAAUAACUGCACCUGCGCGUAUGGAGUGCGCACGGCCGGAGGGAGAUGGCAAGCGCCCAUCCAGAGACGCCUAUGCGUGGCCCAUGUAGAACCGUGGCCCAGCGAGGAUGUUCUGUAAACAUUCUACAUACCGUGUUGAUUUUUAGCCAUUUACUGCAGGAACCUGCUCAUAUUUUUGUACAUUAUUUAUUCAUUCGGAUUUAUUAAAUUCCUACUUUGUUCCAGCUUAGGUUGUGUGCCGAGCAUUUAAAGGUGAACAAGACUCAUUUCCUCCUUCAAGGACAUCCUUGUCUAGUACAGAGACAUAGACGUGAAAAUGGUUUUAAAUGUAUUUCGAUUUUUUUCUUUCCCACAGGUACCCUCCUGUGUUUAAUUGUGGAUGUGAUUCGUACAAGUUCUGCAGGAACACAGAGAGAUGGUGGUGAAGUUAGAUACAGAAGGUGGGAGCUCAGGGUGAAAAUUCUGGGCCAGAAAUAGAGGUUUGAAGGUCCUCACACAUAAGAAAAGGUUACCAUCAUCAGAGGAAUUGAGAUGACCCAGGAAGAAUAUGUGUAAUGACGAGAGAACAGAGUAAGGACGUAAUUUUAGAGAUUUUAAGUGCCUUGAAAGAUGAAUUUGAGGAGGGUACCAGUUUAUAGUCAGAGGUGACUCAUGUGGUUAGAUGCUACUAAACGUUUGUUUCAAAAGGUGGAAUUAUCAAGUUUGGUCAUUCCUUCCACUCGUGACUCAAGCAAGUCAUAAACAUCCAUCAUAUGUUCGACAUAGUGCCAGACCCCACAGCUAUCUGUGCCAUAAAACAAAGCCCUGCCCUCUUGGGACUUAUGUAUUUGCCAACAUAAAUCUAACCUGAAACAACUGAAAGAUUCUAUGAGAUGCCAGAAUGAGGGUCGCCAAAGCAGUAUAAGACACUGAACACAAUUAAGUGAAAACCACCAUGCAAUCAGGAAUGUCUUUAUGGAAAAAAAGCAUGAAACAAUGCCAUUUGCAGCAAUAUGGAUGGACCUAGAGAUUAUCAUACAAAGUGAAGUAAGUCAGACAGAGGAAGAUAAAUAUCAUAUGACAUCACUUAUAUGUGGAAUCUAAUAAAAAUGAUACAAAAGAACUUGUUUACAAAACAGGAACAGACUCAAAGAUUUCAAAAUCAAACUUACGGUUACCAAAGGGGAAAUGUGGGGGUAAGAGGAGAGAGAAAUUGGGAGUUUGGGAUUAACAUAUACCUAUCACUAUGUAUAAAAUAGAUAACCAACAAGGAUCUGCUGUAUAGCACAGGGAAAUCUACUCAGUAUUCUAUAAUAACCUAUAUGGGGAAAGACUCUGAGAAAGAAUGAAUGUAUGUAUAACGGUUUCACUUUGCUGUACACCUGAAACUAACACAACAUUGUACGCCAACUAGACUCCAAUAAUCUUCUUUAAAAAGAAAAACUAAAAAAAAAAAAA
rnacentral:lncRNA from 1 species